GUAAACGCCCUCCGGGGCUCUCUUUAUUCACACACCCCUGUGCACUUUGGCCACCUGCCGCGCUUAACUGCGUUAGUAGGUGUGUCUCUUUAUUUAUACCCAUAUACACAAGUCAUUGAAUGUAAAAUCGUUAUAAACUGAUAUAACUUUCAACAACGGAUCUCUUGGUUCU
rnacentral:misc_RNA from 1 species